GACGAACGCUGGCGGCGUGCUUAACACAUGCAACUCGAACGGAAAGGCCCUGCUUUUGUGGGGUGCUCGAGUGGCGAACGGGUGAGUAACACGUGAGUAACCUGCCCUUGACUUUGGGAUAACUUCAGGAAACUGGGGCUAAUACCGGAUAGGAGCUCCUGCUGCAUGGGGGGGGUUGGAAAGUUUCGGCGGUUGGGGAUGGACUCGCGGCUUAUCAGCUUGUUGGUGGGGUAGUGGCUUACCAAGGCUUUGACGGGUAGCCGGCCUGAGAGGGUGACCGGCCACAUUGGGACUGAGCUACGGCCCAGACUCCUACGGGAGGCAGGAGUGGGGAAUAUUGCACAAUGGGCGGAAGCCUGACGCAGCAACGCCGCGGGCGGGAUGACGGCCUUCGGGUUGUAAACCGCUUUCGCCUGUGACGAAGCGUGAGUGACGGUAAUGGGUAAAGAAGCACCGGCUAACUACGUG
rnacentral:rRNA from 1 species